GACAGGCUGUUGCUGAUCCCUCUCGGGGGAAUACGUGCACGCUUGUCUCAUCUUUUUCAUUUUCCCCAACUGUGCACAUCUUGUAGACCCUGGAGCUUUAUGAAUUUUCAUUCGAGUCGGGACUGCUGUGCCUCCUUUGAGGUCGGCUUUUCCUUGCAUCUCCAGGGUCUAUGUUAUUUCUUCACAAUCUCUCAAAUGUGUUUAGAAUGUUGAAUCAGGUGCUUUUGCACCUAUAAAUGAAAAAUACAACUUUCAGCAACGGAUCUCUUGGCUCUCGCAUCGAUGAAGAACGCAGCGAAAUGCGAUAAGUAAUGUGAAUUGCAGAAUUCAGUGAAUCAUCGAAUCUUUGAACGCACCUUGCGCUCCUUGGUAUUCCGAGGAGCAUGCCUGUUUGAGUGUCAUUUGAACUUCUCAACCACAUUCAGAAAUUGUGAUGUGGCUUGGACUUUGGGGGUCUUCUUUGCAGGCUUUCCGAAAGGAAGGUCGGCUCCCCUGAAACGUAUUAGCGGCAUCUGAGCUGCUGCUAUUAGGUGUGAUAAUUAUCUAUGCCUUUGGUAUGCUGCAUGAACAGGUUGCGCUGCUUAUAAUAAUAAUAAUUUGACAAAUCUGACCUCAAAUCAGGUAGGACUACCCGCUGAACUUAAGCAUAUCAAUA
rnacentral:rRNA from 1 species